CUUUCAGCAACGGAUAUCUCGGCUCUGCAUCGAUGAGAACGCAGCGAAAUGCGAUAAAUGGUGUGAAUUGCAGAAUCCCGUGAACCAUCGAGUCUUUGAACGCAAGUUGCGCCCGAGGCCAUCAGGCCAAGGGCACGCCUGCCUGGGCAUUGCGA
rnacentral:rRNA from 1 species